AGCCAUUAGAUGAUAUUACAUGGUUUUACCUGCCCAAUGUUAUACAUGAAUGGCCGCGGUACUCUGACCGUGCUAAGGUAGCGUAAUCAGUUGACCUUUAAAUGAGGUCAGGAAUGAAUGGAAUAACCGGGUUUAGCUGUCUCUGUGUCACUAUAUUGAAUUUACUAUCUAAGUGAAAAAGCUUAGGGUUAAAAAAGGGAGGAGAAGACCCUUAGAAUUUUUUUUUAAAAGGAAAUAAAAUUUUCUUACAAUUUUAUUGGGGCGAUAAAGAAAUAAUUAAAACUUUCUUCUAUUACAAGCCGAUUAUAUUAAGUGAGAAUAAAUUACCUGAGGGAUAACAGCAUAAUUCUAUAAAUGAGUUUGUGACCUCGAUGUUGGACUAGGAAACUAGCAGGCUAGCCGUUUGCUGUGUUAGGUUCUGUUCGAACUUUUAUUCCU
rnacentral:rRNA from 1 species